UUCUAGAGCUAAUACGUGCACAAAGACCCGACUUCUCGGAAGGGUUGCAUUCAUUAGAUACAGAACCCUCCCCCUCGGGGUCUUGGAUGAUCCAUAAUGAAUGAGCGGAGCGCAUGGCUUGUGUCGGCGCUGUAGCAUUCAAGUUUCUGACCUAUCAGCUUUCGACGGUAGGGUAUUGGCCUACCGUGGCAUUGACGGGUAACGGAGAAUUAGGGUUCUAUUCCGGAGAGGGAGCCCGAGAA
rnacentral:rRNA from 1 species